rnacentral:rRNA from 1 species
AGUGAACGCUGGCGGUAGGCCUAACACAUGCAAGUCGAACGGCAGCACAGUAAGAGCUUGCUCUUACGGGUGGCGAGUGGCGGACGGGGGAGGAAUACAUCGGAAUCUACUUUUUCGUGGGGGAUAACGUAGGGAAACUUACGCUAAUACCGCAUACGACCUACGGGUGAAAGCAGGGGAUCUUCGGACCUUGCGCGAUUGAAUGAGCCGAUGUCGGAUUAGUUAGUUGGCGGGGUAAAGGCCCACCAAGGCGACGAUCCGUAGCUGGUCUGAGAGGAGGAUCAGCCACACUGGAACUGAGACACGGUCCAGACUCCUACGGGAGGCAGCAGUGGGGAAUAUUGGACAAUGGGCGAAAGCCUGAUCAAGCCAUACCGCGUGGGUGAAGAAGGCCUUCGGGUUGUAAAGCCCUUUUGUUGGGAAAGAAAAGCAGCAGGUUAAUACCCCGCUGUUCGGACGGUACCCAAAGAAUAAGCACCGGCUAACUUCGG